CACUUAUUUGCAUCCCCAUAUCAUACGACACCUUCAUCUGUAACCAACCACUUUAUUUACAUUCCAUAUCACACCCACGGUCAUAAUCGACCUUUUCUAUAGUAUUAACAUGCUAUCUGAUUUAUAACUAGGCCGAACCGGAAAAAAUUGAUACUAUUUGGUGGAACUUUAUUAUUGCGUUAUUCAAACGGUUCUCUCAAUUUUUUCUCAAAUAUAAAAAAGAAAAGUUAAAAGUAACCAUAUUUCAUAUCAAUAUCCCCAAAAAAAUCAAAACCCUAAUUUUAUCUCAUAAUCUGAACAGAAUUUCAGAUCUUCUCGUUUCCACUGCAAAAUUAUGUCUUUCUCGCGGAUAGCUCGCAGACGAGGAGUGAAUUUCCAACAUGAAUUUGAGUCCUCUAUCAACAGAAACAACAUGUACCAGCACAAAAACCCACAUUAUUGCAAUAGCAAAACGAGCUACCUUCAUGGCAUGCCUAGAAAUUAUGGGGAAUGUGUUUAUAAUGUUAGAAGUGAUGAAAAUGCUAAUCCUUUGAAGAGGAGAAAAUGUUCGAAUUCUGGGGAUAGCCAGAGAUACUACCGGCAGCCUAACAGCAAUGGUCCUUCGACAAGCAAUAGUUUAUUUAUUGCUUCUACAAGACCUGAUGUGAAUAACUCAACCGUAAUAGGUUGUAAACGUGACAGGUCACAGAUAGAUGACGAAGUAGAGUUUUUUUCUAGAGAUGAGAUCGAGAGACUGUCCCCAUCAAGAAAGGAUGGUAUCGAUCCUCUCCGAGAAACAUAUCUUCGUAAUUCUUACUGUUCAUUUCUUCAGAAUCUGGGUACACGACUUGAAUUGCCACAGACUACCAUUGGAACCGCAAUGGUUCUUUGCCACCGCUUUUUUGUUCGAAGAUCACAUGCUUGUCACGAUAGAUUUUUGAUCUCGACGGCAGUCCUUUUCCUCGCGGCGAAGUCUGAGGAGACGCCGUGCCCUUUGAACAAUGUAUUGAGGGUGUCAUAUGAAAUUUGCUACAAGCAGGGUCUUAAUUUCUUUCCUUAUCUUCUCCCUGUGGACUGGUUCGAGCAGUAUCGGGAACGUGUUAUUGAUGCCGAGAACAUAAUACUGAGAACACUGGAUUUUGAGCUUAAUGUGGAGCAUCCCUACGAUCCUCUGACAUCAGUCCUUAACAAAUUAGGACUAUCACAGACUGUUUUGAUCCAUUUGGCACUAAACUUGGUCAGUGAAGGGUAAAAUUAUUAUGGGGUGGUCAUUAAUCAAGUUGUGGCAGGCGUUUGUUCUUUUCUUUUUAUAUAUAGUGCAGCAGCUCCAUACGUCUUGAAAUUGUAGAAGAGAUACUUAGCUGGAUCUUCACAAGAAUAGCGUGCUCACCUUAUGAUAUUCUUAGCUGGCGAUUUGAUAUGAUUUUCAUGCAUGGAAAGUUUUGUUUUACGCCUGAAGUUGGAGUGCUGAUGUGUUGUGGAUAGCUUUUUCAUGAAAGUCUUUUACCAUUGUGGUCAUUGGUUACUGGAUUAACCACCGACCUAUCACCACCAGUUUAUAAUAUCUCACCCUUAGGAUUUUCUCUGACUGCUGCGGUUUUCUCUAGAAACUGCUGCGGUUUUCCGUCCCCACAAUGCCAUGAAACCUGUCCGGACCACAAAUUUUCAUAAAUGGACCAUACGAAAUAAUGAUGUCACAGACUACUAUAUUAAUUGCUUAUAAGCAGUAUUCUGUUUGAUGGCUAAAGCGAUUUUGGUCUAUAUUCUUCGGAUAUGAUGUAUUUAAAAAGGUUUCUUUACCUGGAGCUCUCAGAUAUUAUGGUGAAACAGAAUAUAGGUUGUGUGUGGACUUAUACGAGCUAUUACUAUGUAUGAGUCUUCCAUCUGACACGUACUCCAUUCAGUUUUGGGUUAGGUGUUAUUUCUCUACUUCGGUUGAUGGGCUUCCCUUUUGUUUAAGGAAUAGUCUAUUGUCUUUAGACUUACAUCAGAAUAUUAUUUUUCAAAAGUGUUCCAUAAGAGUUCACAUCUCCAAGUUCUAUUCUAAUGUUGGAGACAAGGUAAUGUUUUCUAUAUAUAUAUAUAUUUGUAUUCUUUGCAUGUAGGUAAAAUUGAACCAUAAUUUUUACCAGGUAGCAUGAUUUGCUAUUGAGAUUGUCAGCCAUUGAGCCAGUGGGAGUAGGUUAUGAUAUAUCUAGGCAGAUCUGAAAAGAAAUCAUGCAUCUAAUGACUAAGCAGGAGUAAGCUAAGAAAGUAAAGCCAAGGGUCUUAGGAGGCAUGUUUUAAAUUAGAAGUCAAGAACCGAAUAGUGCCUCUAGUGCAGCCAGAUUUCUUCGUACCAAUUGUUCUUUGUCUCUUUGGCUAUAAUACUGUUUUUAAAAUAGUCAGAAUAAAGAAGAAUAAGAAAUGGUACUUAGUUUUUGACACUUCUCAGAUGGACACAAACUCAUCCUCUUUUGUCCUUUUGUUCAUUCCCACUUUUAUCCUAUUUCCUUUUCUCUUUUCUCUUUGCCCCUUUGUUCUUUCUUUCUGCUAAUGCUUUUCAUGCUUAAAAGUUCUUUUGCAUUUCAAAGUUCCCAAUGGAUGUGUUUAUAUGCGACCCAAUUUACAGGUAUCCAUAGACGUCGCCGGUUUACCUUUAGGAAUUUAUGUAUGUCCAAUUUUCCGUUGGAUGAAAUGUUGAUCAGUUUUGUUACAGUUGCAGUUUUUGGUUUGAGAUAGCUUGCAUUCUGGAGUCAAAUAUUCGUUACAUAGUAUGAUGAAUUUACGUGCCUUUACAAACAUUGUAACAUUUAUAGCAUUUGGGUAUGCUAUGACAUGGUGCAACAUCAGUGUUUUCUACUUGAUGCUUUUAGGGCACCUCUGUCAGUUCAGUCCACAUGAUUGUUGGCCUCUAUCACCACUCAUUUUGGCACCCUGGUCAUGGGUGUAUUGCCUGUCUAUGUUGUCAAUAGUGCUUCUGCCAUGAGUGUGAAAUCGUGCUCUUUCACAUGACAUCAUUGAAAAGAAGAAACUGGCACGACCUUUGAGAAAGUUUCAAUCAUAAAAAAACAUCCGACAAAAUUAUGUAUCUGAUGAAUAAUGGGAAUGUGCCUUCCCCUGAAGGACAAUUAGGUCUUGGAGCUGAUUCGUUGUUCCAGUAGUUAUGACAAAUUUUGGUAUUGUUUCGAAACCUUGUUAGCAUUUCUGAAGAUUCUCGGGAAAAUAUUCCUUCUGAUGGCUGCUUUCAUAGUUGGCUUCGGAGCUCACUUUGGCUUCAGUUCAAACCUCAUCAUAUUGCUGCUGGUGCUGCAUAUCUUGCUGCAAAGUUCCUUAAUUUUGAUCUCGCAGCUUACCAAACAAUGUUGCAAGAGUUCCAUACAACACCUUCCAUUGUGCAAGAUGUGGUCCAACAGUUGAUGGAGCUCUUUUAGAAGAUUUAUAUAUAUAGUCUCGGGGACUCUUGUAUCCGAGGCUCGAUAUACAUACAUGUAAGAUUAUCGUGUAUUAGUUGUUAUAUUGAACCUUCCCUUUUGGAGAAUUGAUGUAUAAAGUUGCUAUAUUAUGGAACUCUUUGAAAUCAGGUCUGCAAAUAGUAUCAACUAAUACAACUUCUGCACA